CGUGGAGACAGGUGGUGCAUGGCUGUCGUCAGCUCGUGUCGUGAGAUGUUGGGUUAAGUCCCGCGACGAGCGCAACCCUCACCCCUAGUUGCCACCGGGUUAAGCCGAGCACUCAAGGGGAACUGCCAGCGUCAAGCUGGAGGAAGGCGGGGAUGACGUCAAGUCAUCAUGCCCCUUACGCCCUGGGCUACACACGUGCUACAAUGGCCAGUACAAAGGGACGCGAGACUGCGAAGUGGAGCUAAUCCCAAAAAGCUGAUCUAAGUUCAGAUUGCAGUCUGCAACUCGACUGCAUGAAGGAGGAGUCGCUAGUAAUCGCGUAUCAGCCCGGCGCGGUGAAUACGUUCCCGGGCCUUGUACACACCGCCCGUCACACCACGAAAGCUGUCUGUACUCGAAGUCGCUGAG
rnacentral:rRNA from 1 species